GUAGGUGGCAAGCGUUGUCCGGAAUUAUUGGGCGUAAAGCGCGCGCAGGCGGUCCUUUAAGUCUGAUCGUGAAAGCCCACGGCUCAACCGUGGAGGGUCAUUGGAAACUGAGGGACUUGAGUACAGAAGACGGAAAGCGGAAUUCCACGUGUAGCGGUGAAAUGCGUAGAGAUGUGGAGGAACACCAGUGGCGAAGGCGGCUUUCUGGUCUGUAACUGACGCUGAGGCGCGAAAGCGUGGGGAGCAAACAGGGAUUAGAUACCCUGGUAGUCCACGCCGUAAACGAUGAGUGCUAAGUGUUAGGGGGUUUCCGCCCCCUUAGUGCUGCAGCUAACGCAUUAAGCACUCCGCCUGGGGAGUACGACCGCAAGGUUG
rnacentral:rRNA from 1 species